UGCGUAGGGGGCAAGCGUUGUCCGGAUUUAUUGGGCGUAAAGAGCUCGUAGGCGGUUGGGCAAGUCACGUGUGAAAUCUCCACGCUCAACGUGGAGGCGCCACGUGAGACUGCCCUGACUCGAGUCCGGUAGGGGAGCGUGGAAUUCCCGGUGUAGCGGUGAAAUGCGCAGAGAUCGGGAGGAACACCCGUAGCGAAGGCGGCGCUCUGGGCCGGUACUGACGCUGAGGAGCGAAAGCGUGGGGAGCAAACAGG
rnacentral:rRNA from 1 species